rnacentral:lncRNA from 1 species
CUUAGAUUCAAGCUGAGAUUCCUGCUACGCCACCCGUGACAUACUUCUGAAAAUCUCUCUCAAAUACGCAGCUAUCACAUGUUUUCCACCUUUGUUUCAGGUUCUUCAUUCUGCGUGUUGAUACUGCCAUAGUGAGCAAGAUCAAUAGCAGCCUGAUGACCUCAUUCUCUGAUUGACUUGGAAUCUAAAAAAGGAAGAUUAGCCCUGAGCGAACUACUGCCAAUCCUCCUCUUUUUACUGAGGAAGACUGGCCCUGAGCUAACAUCCGUGCCCAUCUUCCUCUACUUUAUACGUGGGAUGCCUACCACAGCAUAGUGUGCCAAGUGGUGCCAUGUCCACACCCGGGACCCGAACCGACGAAACCCGGGCCAUCGAGAAGCGGGACAUGCACACUUAACUGCUGCGCCACCAGGCCAGCCCCUCCAAGUCUUUAUUUUUAUACAAAGGCGGCCCAGUGUUUCGUUGGUUGGAAUCCUGGGCGCGGACAUGGCACUGCUCAUCAGACCACG